rnacentral:rRNA from 1 species
UGCAGGAUGAAGGCCUUCGGGUUGUAAACUGCUUUUGUNCGGAACGAAAAANCUUCUCCUAAUACNAGAGGNCCAUGACGGUACCGUAAGAAUAAGCACCGGCUAACUACGUGCCAGCAGCCGCGGUAAUACGUAGGGUGCGAGCGUUAAUCGGAAUUACUGGGCGUAAAGCGUGCGCAGGCGGUUAUGUAAGACAGAUGUGAAAUCCCCGGGCUCAACCUGGGAACUGCAUUUGNGACUGCAUGGCUAGAGUNCGGUAGAGGGGGAUGGAAUUCCNCGUGUAGCAGUGAAAUGCGUAGAUAUGCGGAGGAACACCGAUGGCGAAGGCAAUCCCCUGGACCUGUACUGACGCUCAUGCACGAAAGCGUGGGGAGCAAACAGGAUUAGAUACCCUGGUAGUCCACGCCCUAAACGAUGUCAACUGGUUGU